CUUCCCUUGAGUUUCGUGUCUUCUCCCUAACUUUUCUGCUAAACUAAAAGUUUUUCAGGACAACUUGUUUUAGAAAAUUCUGAAGAUUUCACAAGGUCUUCAAAUUUAUGAAUUUCCUGAAGCCACAGAGCCCUUAUAAUAAUCUCCUUACAUACCUUAUAUUUAGGAGAUUCAGUUUUUGUCGCUUUAUUUUGAAAUAAUUUUAGACCUACAGAGGAGUUUCAUGGAGGAUAUAGAGCUCCCACCCCCACUCCCACCCCACCCCUGCCCACUCCCAGAUCAUUUAUGAAACCCGAGAAAUGAACAUUAGUACUCACUGGAAACUUAAACUGCAGUCUGUAUUCAGAUUCCCUGUUUUUCUGUAGUGAUUUUUGUUGCAGGAACAGAUCUAAUCUUCACAACUGUUUAUUUUCCCACAUUUUAAUUAAAUUCUGAAUGUCAUCAAAUUCACCCAACACUGAUUUUAGAAACACAUUUCCAUAAUGAGGCCAUCCAGGACUGUGUCACACGUGUUCCCACAUCCCGACUGUCCUCCCCAUGUCCUGUUCGCACAGAGAGGUCACCAGAUCAGGCAGGAGUGCCGGGCACACCAUGAAGUGCCUCACCCGACAUCGUCAAGUUCGGCAGAAAGGAAAGCAUAUGCAUUUUUUAAAACAACCUGUUGUGGAAAAGGAGUUUAUGUUCUUUGUUAUAUCCGUGUCAGACUGUGCUCAGAGUUAGGUGCAGGUCACGUGGCUUGUGACUGGCGCUGAAAUGCCUCCCACGUGUGCAGACCACUCGUUUCACCCGACCAUGGGGAAUUCAUCCACACUGUGCCUGGGGCCAAGGAAGCAGAGUCAGCAGACACAUACUGUGACAAGGGACACACCAGCUAACAAAAGCUGCCACCUUGGAUCACUGAAGCCCAGGACUGGCCACUCCAUCAGGCUCCCCAUCAGACAUGACCCUGGUCAGGGGAGCCUGCAGGCCCGAUCCCGUCCAGGGCUGAGCCCGUGCUGUCCCCAUCCCUGUCUCUAUCUUCACGCAGAGACACAGCCCUCCCCUGUUCUGUUUCACACUGAAGCACCUUGACUGGCAAAGGACACGUCAGAAGUUUACAAGCUAAAGAGGGAAAAGAAGGAAGAAUUGUGUGAAUAAUUUCACCCUCUUAUUGUCGUGUAGCAUGGUCGUUGGCUGAAAAAUGGAUUACUGGACUGACAAUCUGGAGCAUUUCAAUGAAUGUAAUAAAGAAUUCCCAGGACCUGUGAAAAUAUGUGUGGUGAUCAAAUGUGGCAGUGAAGCAAAAAUCCAACUUUGGAAAAAGUAAAAACAAGUGAUUCAGUGAUAUGUUUUGUCAAUGUUAAUUCUGAGCCCUAAAUAAAGUUAACGAGAACAAAUGGA